AGAGAGAGGUGGUUAUAGUCACAUCCUAUAGACAUGAGACAGCCACCUGCUGGACUAGAGCCCUAUAGACAGAGAGAGGUGGUUAUAGUCACAUCCUAUAGACAUGAGACAGCCACCUGCUGGACUAGAGCCCUAUAGACAGAGAGAGGUGGUUAUAGUCACAUCCUAUAGACAUGAGACAGCCACCUGCUGGACUAGAGCCCUAUAGACAGAGAGAGGUGGUUAUAGUCACAUCCUAUAGACAUGAGACAGCCACCUGCUGGACUAGAGCCCUAUAGACAGAGAGAGGUGGUUAUAGUCACAUCCUAUAGACAUGAGACAGCCACCUGCUGG